UACGGGGGGGGCAAGCGUUGUUCGGAAUUACUGGGCGUAAAGGGCUCGUAGGUGGCCAACUAAGUCGGACGUGAAACCCCUCGGCUUAACCGGGGAACUGCAUCCGAUACUGGAUGGCUUGAGUUCGGGAGAGGGAUGCGGAAUUCCAGGUGUAGCGGUGAAAUGCGUAGAUAUCUGGAGGAACACCGGUGGCGAAGGCGGCAUCCUGGACCGACACUGACGCUGAGGAGCGAAAGCCAGGGGAGCAAACGGG
rnacentral:rRNA from 1 species